GCCGCCGUAGCUCAGCCCGGGAGAGCGCCCGGCUGAAGACCGGGAUGUCGGGGGUUCAAAUCCCCCCGGCGGCA
rnacentral:tRNA from 1 species